UACGUAGGGUGCGAGCGUUAAUCGGAAUACUGGGCGUAAAGCGUGCGCAGGCGGUUUCGUUAAGUCAGAUGUGAAAGCCCCGGGCUCAACCUGGGAACUGCAUUUGAAACUGGCGGGCUUGAGUAUGGCAGAGGGGGGUGGAAUUCCGCGUGUAGCAGUGAAAUGCGUAGAGAUGCGGAGGAACACCGAUGGCGAAGGCAGCCCCCCUGGGCCAAUACUGACGCUCAGGCACGAAAGCGUGGGGAGCAAACAGG
rnacentral:rRNA from 1 species